rnacentral:tRNA from 2 species
GGGGCCAUAGCUCAGCUGGUAGAGCACCGCCUUUGCAAGGCGGGUGUCCGGGGUUCGAGUCCCCGUGGCUCCA